CGGGGUGUAGUACAACGGUAGUAUAUGCCCUUGGGGUGGGUAAGACCGGAGUUCGACUCUCCACACCCCGA
rnacentral:tRNA from 1 species